rnacentral:lncRNA from 1 species
CUUCUACGGUCUCCAGUCGGUAAGCUCUCGGCCCAUAGGUGUCCGCUACCUUGUAGGGUCCUUCCCAGUUCGGAGCUAACUUUUCCUGGUCUAGAGGCUUCGAGACUUCUGCCUUUCUUAGGUCUAGGUCCCCAGGCCUGAAAAGUUUCGGUUUGACCUUGGCAUUGUAGUAUCGGGCUACUCUCUGUUGAUAAGAAGCCAUACGAAGUUGAGCCUCGCA